AGGUUACGUCAAGACUCACGGCUAUUAACCGUAGGCUUUUCUUCUCUACUGAAAGUGCUUUACAACCCGCAGGCCCUCUUCACACACGCGGCAUUGCUGGAUCAGGCUUGCGCCCAUUGUCCAAUAUUCCCCA
rnacentral:rRNA from 1 species